CUGUUCUUAAAAACCUCCAGUGACGGCAAUUCCACAACUUCCCUAGACAAUGUGGAUGUUGUAAUUGUAUCAGAAACUAGCAUUAUAAAGCCAGGAAAUGAAAAGUGAAGAUCACACUUACAAGAAAUCCAAAUAUGUCACUACGGGUCAAAGUUAAGGUUGUUUGGCUGCCGUAACUGUUCAUUUCCAUACCUUAAAAUAUUUGGAUUUAUUUUAAACUGUGAUUUUAUUGUAUUAUGGUUGUGUCUAGAACCUUAUAUAGGUGUCUUAUUGUUAUGUACAUCUAAAUUAAAUUAACUUGGGUUUAUAAUGCCUAAGUUACUGAUCUGACUUUCAGCCUUAACUCAAUCUUAAUAUUGUUUUGUUUGGGAAUUAAUAAUAGCUUUCAGCAAGAAGGGAAUUAAUUCCUAUCUGGAUAAUUCUGCUAACCAGAGCUUUGUGCAGAGAGAAAGCUGAAGUAAGAAGGCACUAAGAUAUGAUAAACACAGAAGAAAGCCAUACAGAGACAGGGAAGAUAUCAGAGACCAGGGGUGUGUGUGGUGGGGUCUGACAUUUCCUGGGAUAUCUAGGGUUGUGAGGCACCUCGCUACCACCUGACCUUAGCGUGAGUAAGCCUUGUCUGGCUGGCAUGGGUCAGCUUCCCUACUCCACUAGCCAAGGGCAACACAAGCACUUCCCUCUGAGCCUGCAUAGGCUCCUCUGUCUCUCUACAGUUUAGUGAAAGGCACGCUCCAAACCCUGAGCUCUUUGAGAGUCCCACUGGAGUGUCCAGCCCCUGGUCCACUGGAUGUUCACAGUAUUCCCAGAUCUGCUGCUUCCAAAGAAACAGUACAGCCCCAGCUUACCAGUUACACCUCAGAUCACUGCUCCGUUUACUGUUUAUAGUGAAAUCAGGAACAGGUUUAACAAAAUAUAGCAAUUCAAAGUCAUAGCAAGUAGAAGUAUUGGGGAAAAAAAUGGUUAUGUGUAAAAUUAUAAUACAUUCUAGAGCGUAGACUUAAUUAACAAGAGACUCUCUUGUCUAAUAAAGUAGUGCUUACCAAAGCUUUACAGCCAGGCUGGCUGUGACCCCUCUUUCAUGAGGCAUAACAUGCUGUCAGCUUGCCUCCUCGGUAAUGGGUCCAGAGUGUUAAUUGGUACCCCUAGGUACAUCAGAACAAUCCUUUGUCCUUAUUCAUAAACAGGACCUCACCCCCACUGAUUGUUUCUUCCUGUGGCUUUCCUCUCUUGUGGAUUUCUCAAUCUCUCAAAUGGCAUCAGGGUCAGUAUGCAGAUAGGCGUACGCUGUAAGGCAGACAAGGAACAUAUCAGACCGGGAGAGAGGCACCUGUUAUCACCUGCCUGAAAAGAACAUUCCUGAGGUAUGUUACCUCCUGGUGAUCUGCCUUAAUCCCAAGUCUUUAAGAACAUACUUUUCAGUAUAGAUACAUCACUUCUUAAUAAUUAUCUGUACAGGCUUUUCCCACCCUUCGGUGAACUAAUGUGCAUAUAAACCCUGUGAACCUCGUGUGCUGUCCGCCAGUUGGCUCCAAGAGGCCUUGGGUCACAUGGAGGUGAUAAGGUUACUAUCAGGUACAAAGUGUUCUUUUCACAGGAACGUUAACGAAAGAUGAAGAUUGCCAUAAAAAGAACAAGAAGGUACCACAGAAAUAAAAUCCAGUCUCUAUUGGAGCCUAGUAGGAAUGUUGAUCUUAUGCACAGAUCUGCUCAAAUUGGACCAUAGUUCAUGGGACUUUGACUACUGCCAAUCGUCUGUUCUGCAGGCUCUCCACACUGUGGAGAAUCAGACUUGUGGCUAUGAUAGCCUGCCUGCUGCAGUUUGGAUAAAUAAAGUGCAGCAAUAUGAACAACCCUACACCAGCGAGAAGCUUAGAGCAGAGCAAGAUUCCCUCUCUAUGUACUGCUCAUCAAGGAGAAGAUGAACCCCAGAGUUCACUGGUUUACAGGCAGAAGUUAGAUUAAGCAGAGUAGACCCCAGCAAGUAAGUGUGGUAAGUUUGGGGAGGAUAUGCUGUAUUCAUAUAUAAUACAAAAUGUUGAAUCCCAGCUUUAAGUGCAAGGCUCAGCUGAACCAUAUCUAUUGAGAUAUGACCAGCACCUCCAUAAUUAGUAGGGUUACAUCCUAAUCUUGGAUGUGUGCAUGUUACUGUGUAUGCUCAGAGAAACCAUAACUGUAAACAUCUGUGGACUCACAGGGGCAGGUUUUUGAGCCAUGGUCAGUGUAUGCCAGAUUCAAGACUCAGUUUAUAAAAACAGAGGUUUUUGAAAAGCUCCUGAACACCUUUUUAUCUCUUCCUGACAAAGUCUGGCCAUUUAGCAGCCUUGGUUUAAUUCUCUGACUUAAGUCAUUGAUUUACACUGCUACACAGUUAUCCUGAUGUGCUAUCAGGUUCCUGGUUGUCCCCGUUGGUGAAUAUUUAUAUAUUGUUGCCCAUGGGCAAGACAGUGGUUGAUUCUAGGGCCUUGCAAGAGGUGGAAAGAAACUGAUGUAAUGGAGUCAGUUCUGGCGUAACCUGUUUAUUUACACCAUAUUUUUAUUGACACAAUGCACGGGAGCCCUCUUACUCUUAAUCUGAGAGAGAUUCACCUACACAUAGGCAGCUCCAGAAUUCUCAGCUCAGUCACCCUGAGCUGCUACCUGAAACAGCUGCCUCCAUCACUGACUCUUCAGGUCUCCAACCAUCCUCUUAACUACCCCAGACCUUCCCCACGUGGCUGCCCUGUAGCCUCCCAAGCAGGAUCCAGAAUAGCAGCAGCAGCUUCAUCCUCGGCAGAUUCAUCACACUGAUCUACUCCUGGCUGGAAGAUUCAUUAUAAUAUCACUGAGGCUCCUAUUGUGCUGAUCUCUGUGAUAAAUCUGAACAGAGGUGGUGAUAUAGCUGUAUAAUAAUAUGCAGUGGUUACAGAACUGUACAGUAGGGGUUCACUGAUCCCCAAGCAGAGCUGUACCAGGCUGUCCUGGAGAUCCAGAAGUCCUGCCUGAGCCUCUGCUCUCCAGGUGUCAGCCUGGAGAACAUCUACAGCCUCAUGUUGAGCCUUAUGGGACAGAAGCUGAAAGAGCUGGGGAUCCUAAAGAAAAGCAGCACUGAGAACCACCUCUUCAAGGCGUUCGUAUCCCCCAGGAUGACAUGGCCGCCCCAGAGAGCUUCUUCAGUCUCAGUGCAUUGAGGAUGACAUGGUGGUGACGGAAGAUGUAUCACUGAUCCUGUCUGCAGGUUGCCCCAAGAAGAUCUGUCGUGUCGCUGAUCCUGUCUGCAGACUGCCCCAAGAACAUCUGUCAUGUCGAGCAGAUCUGUGGCCGCAGCCUGUGAUUUCUCUCCUCCGCCUUAUGCACCCUGCUUGGGUUCCUCAGGAAAUGUGCUCCCACACACACAUGCAGUGAUAAGUUGUUGCUGAUGUGGGGACUCUGUAGUUUGGACAGGGAAUUGGAUAGUUAAUGGCUCAGGUAACGUCACUGUUAGAAAGCAAAGCAACCAUUUAUUUACCUAGUUGACGUCUUUUCUAGGUAGCGCUGAUUUAACAAUCUAAAAUCCGGGAAGUGGAUCCCUCCUGCCACACAGAUACCUUCACUUCUGCUCUCAUGCCAAUGGUGUAACGCUCUUGUUCAGUUCUGUCAGCAGGACAUUAGCCUCCUGGCUUGUUCUUCCUUGCAGGUCCUUGAACAGGAUGCAGCGGCUGAGGGCCAGGUCCCACACCUUGCCCUUUGUUAACCAGCCCAAUCAGAUGCUCAUUUUCAAAGUGAAAAAAGUGAAUUUUUCAGGGUAGUUGCGCAAAGGUGCAAUCAUUUUUCCAGCAGCAGAGGUGGUGAUUAGAGGGGGUCAGGCUGGAAGGAACUUGUCUUUAUUGGGUGUUGAGAAGGUUUUAGCAUUUGGGGCUAGUGUUUUGGGGUCUUGUUUUAGAAGACAUGGGAGGGUUCAGCAAUUGCCAGGGAGGUCAACUUGUGUUGAGGCAUGGGAGAGGUUAGCAAUUGGGUGUGGGGACUAAUUUGGUUCAGGGCACUUGCCAUGCGGUUUGGACUGCUCAGUAUUUCUGCUUCCCCAUCUCCUCAGCUUUGCCGUCUCCUUUCCUUUCCCUCUUCAUCUCCCUGGUGAUUUGAAAAAUGAUCCAAUCUUAAAAUCAUCAGUGGUACUUUGGACUAACAAUGUUUUAUUUCUUCUUGGACUGAUGCUUUGUACAGCAGCCAGUGCCACCUUCCUCCCUCUUCUGAUAAAAUAAUAAACAACCUUAAGCAGGGGACUGGGCUUCUUCAUAGAAGGAAGGAAAUUAGAUGGGGGCACCAAAAUGAACUGAAAGUAAAGUUGAAUCAUUUUUAAGUAAACCAAGACUGAUCAUCUACUCUCUCAGCAUUUUACAAAGUGAAGGAUGGUUAGAAAAAACCCAACAAUUACACUUUGUCUGUAAAGCACUUUGGGACCUUUAAAAGAAAGGUGCUAUCCUGGGUCUGUCUAUGUAUAUAUGUAGAUAUACAGAUUAUAUAUCACACAUUCCAUUCAGCACUGAGAGAAAUGAUGCACAUCUCUAUUUAGUAUCUCUAUAUUGCAAUGCCUUUUAAUAAAGAGAUAUUUUUUAAAAUUACCUUUUUAGUACAGCAGGAUUCAGUUAAAGAUUUUUAUUGCCACAUCUUUUCCUUCACUGCCAGACACUGGAUCAUAAACCCAGACAUACAAGACUGCUGAUUGCAUGACUUUUACCCAUCAGCGGCCACCUCCCUGUAAUGACAACAGCUGAGAAUGGAAGGUUAUAGUUUUCCAUGGAAAUAGUAAUUUUAAAUGAAUUUAAAAAUUUCUCCAAUGCUUGCACCCUAAUGUAUGUUUUCAUGUCUCAGAUGUGCAGGAGUCUCAUUUAAUAUACGGAGACUGAUGCUCGUUAUUUUAAAGGGACAUUUGUCAACUAGAUUUAGGAUUGAAUUCAGGUUGAGUAAAAAGAAGGGAUUUGGCAAACUUAAUAUAAUAGUUGUUUUCAUGCAGGGAUAAUACAUUUCUCAAAACUUUUCCCCCUUUUCUCUAAAUGAUUCCCUUGUGAUGCCUAACACUGCACAGCAUUAGGUUAGUGGUAUGAGAAUAAAAUGAAAGUGACCAUCUAGUUUUACUAUUCACACUGCAUGAUGUGCACAUAAAUGAAUAGCAUCAACAUGGAAAAGCAACUUAGACGGUAAAUAUUUUCCAUGUUGAUAAUUUGAGGUGUUAGUGUUAAUAACACAGAUAAGGCAUUUUCAUUUAUUACGACUUUUGUCUUGACAGCCUUCGUGUAACUUGUAGACUUAGGCCCUGAUCCUGCAACACUUAUGUAUGUGCCUAACUGUAGACAUAUGAGAAGUCCUCUUGCUUUCCAAUCUUUGUUCCAUUGAAAGCAAUGGUAAAACUCCAAUCUGUUCAAUAGGACCAGGAUCUUGCCUUUAACUGGAAGUUUAUGUAUACCUGACUAAACACUUCCAAACAUCCUGUCCCAGCAAGCACUACGUCUCAGUUAAAACCUAACAUGAACGCUGUAGGGAAUGGGGGAGGAUAUAUUCUUAAUUUUGGUUGUUCUACAGUCCUGGUCAGGAACUUUUAGAGGGGAUAUUUUCCAGGAAACUACAUGUAUGUGUAUAUGAGGAAAAGCUUCCUCUAUUCCUGUGCACCUUCACCGUGUCCUGCUCCUUCCUGCAUCCAGGCAGAAACCCACUGUAGAUUCCCUGAAGGGCUCUUGGCCUUUGGUGUCAGCGUAGACAUGAGAUGGCAAUGUGACCAAGUGGGUAGAGCAUUUGCCUGGGAUUCAGAAGUUCUAUGCUCAGCUCUAUCCCUGGUCUGCUGGGUGACCUUGGGCAUUUCGCAUCACCGUUCUAUGCCUCAGUUUCCUCAACUGUAAAAUGUAGAUAAUGAUGCUGACCCUGUUGCUAAGGUGUCUGGAGAUCUAUGGAUGGAAAGUGCUCCAUAAGAGCGAGGUGUUGUUAUUUUCAGUGCUGUCCCUUAUGCCUGCCAUUCUCACAUUUUUGACUGAAAGUGGAGCAAGAGUUUAUGCAAUGCUGGCAACUUAAAAUCGAUGCUGGUUUUUAACUAACUGUUGUGUGUUAAUAUUAUGAUAUUGUAUAUUCAAGACUAACACAUUGUGAGGUCCUGUCCAUCAAUUAAAUUGUUACAGUUAGAAGAAAGUUUUAACUGACAAUAAAGGAAUAAAUCGCAACAAUAAUGUGUACAAGCCUGAGCCUGUCCGGAGGUAGACGGGGGUAAGAAGAGGUUACGAUUAAGGAGUUAGGUCCCAAUUCUGGGAUCUGCACAGGCAAACCUCAGCUGACUUCAGUGGGGCUCCACACAGGCCUGAGGGUUCACCUGUUCAGAGCAACUUGCAGGACCAGGGUCUAAUUUGGUAGUG